CCCAGGUGCUUGUCACGUGACACGAUUAGCUCGCCCCAUUUGGCAAGAAGCUAAAAUGUCUCUUUUGGGACCUCUUGGCCUCCUCUCAUGACAGCAAUGAUUGGUAAACAUCGGCCUCGUUAGCGACGGCAGACAAAGGUGUGGUCUUCCCCCUCUCCCCCUCUCCCUCCCUCCCCGGUCGCUCCAUGUGGUCCCAGUGUGCAGUAAGCGGAUACAAGCUACAUGUUGGCAGAGCGCGGAGGGGAGUUCCUUUUCUGGAAGGACCUCAUGCAUACACCCUCCCUCCCUCCCACCCUCCCCUCUCUCAACAGAGAUGUGGAAAGCCUCAUUUCAUGUCACGCCUGUGUGAGAGGAGCACACAGAGACGGGAGUGAGGAGUCUUCUCUUUUUCUAUUCAACGCAACUUUCCUUUUACAGGAGACUCCCAGGUAGCCUCAGGUAGACGCCCUUCCUUCAUCAAACAUCCUCCUCUUGUCUCUCUCUCUCCACCCCACCCUGCCAGUGAGGGCGUCGGAGAGCAUCCUCAUCUUUCCAUCACUCUAGCCAUGGUUCUCCAUUGAAGACAGCAGCAGCAGCAGCAGAAGGAGGAAGCGCCUACAUGCUGGAUUAAAAACAACAACAAAAGAAGGGAGAAGAAGAAGAAGUGAGUGGAGGACGGGAACAGCAACAGCAUGAGUGAGGAGGCAAAGGAGAAGGCGGCAGGAACAGGAGCGGGGAAAGGCGCUCAUCGCAAAAAGAAAGGCAAAAAGCAUGUGGAAUGUCACCUGUCACUCAGCAGUAAUCUUUAACCUGCGACUGGUCGGUCUGGUUGUUUUGUCCCCGGGUGAUUGGCUGCAAGAGCGGCGCUCAGUGAGGGGAGGGGCCUGGGGGGG